GAGGGUAGAGCUCAGGGGUAGAGCGUGUUCUUAGGAAGUGCAAGGUCCUGGGUUCAAUCCCCAGUCCCUCCU
rnacentral:tRNA from 1 species